AUCUCCACAAGUUUUGUGAUAGAGCCUCGCUCAGCUGGACUUCCUCACGCUGAUUUACCCGGCAAGUAAAGCUUACUGACAUGAGAACACUGAAUCGCACACAGACAGUGUUUGCCAAGACAGCAUAGCAAGGGGCAUGAUUUCCCCACUGUCAUCGAGGUUAGCUUAAUAAUUAAUACAGGUGCCAGAUGAUACUGAACAAAAGUUAGCCCAACCUACGACAGUUAGCCACUGCACACAGCUCUGUGGCAGAAAAUGGUCGUGGAGAUUCAGCUCUUCACUAUUUACUACUACGCACAGCCCAUGCGUCCACCCCUUUGGAGGACCAAGUGUUCCUGUAGCGAAGCCUAGAAUUAACGUGUUUUACCACGGGCCACUUCAAGCCUUUGCUUCUGCAGGUCUAUUAGUCGAACAAUUUCCCGUCCACAACUACCAAAGAUGUGUGCUGCACAGACCUCGGGCACACGAGCACAGGUUUACAAACUUCCAAAGCAGCAAUUUGCUUAAAGAGUGGAAGGAGAGCAAAUUUCCCUCCGAACAAGCGGUCGCUGUUGGCAAAGACACAGACAGCCGUCCGCGGAGCUCAGCCCGGCACUCACCCGGCCAGGGGCUGCCAGGACAUCGCAGUGCCAGCGGACAGAACGACAUCGCCUCCGCGACGGUCCGCGCUCGCAACGCUCCCCCGCCUGCAGCCACCCCAGGAAGCGCCUCCCUCGGGCAGGAGGGGCGGAGGGACGGCCGAGCUCUUGCAGGUUUUUAUGAGUCUCUGGGAGUUUGAGAAGUCUAAGUCGUAUGGGAAAUUCAAAGGAGAUAAGUAUUAAUGUAUGUAUUUUACUGAUAAAUAAACACUAAAACUUGAGGUGACA
rnacentral:lncRNA from 1 species